ensembl:lncRNA
UGUCUCACAUACACACACAGAGGCAGAUAAUGAUUGAUUUUACUAAAUUGUUUUGCUUUGUAACAAGGAAGGAUUUAAAGAGGCACUGAACUCCGCCUAAAGGCUGCAAUACCCAAAUGUGAUUGGAACUAGAUUAAAAUAUAACUUCCCUGUUCAGUCAUUUCUGAGUCUUUGUGACCCCAUUUCGGGGUUUCUUGGCAGAGGUACAAGCAUAGUUUUCCAUUUCCUUCUCCAGCUCAUUUUACAGAUGAGGAGACUGAAGCAAACAGGGUUAAAUGACUUGCCCAGAGUCACACAUCUGGUCUUUUUCUGGAUCUGGAAAGUGUUCUUUCUCAUGACUCCCUCAGAAUUGUCCUGGAUCAUUGCACUACUGCUAGUAGAGAAGUCCAUUACAUUGGAUUGUGCCACAGUGUAUCUGUCUCUGUGUACAAUGUUCUCCUGGUUCUGCUCCUCUCACUCUGCUUCAGUUCCUGGAGUGACUCCUGCUCCUCAUCCCUCUGGUCAAAAAUUGGCAAACAGAUGUGUGAAAAAGCAAGAAUGGAGACACAGUAAAUGUCCAGACCUCUGCAGAAGAACCAACUAAUUCUUACGGUUUCAAAACUGAUUGGCUUGGUUCUUCAGUCCAAACAUAAUGGAAUACAUGAUGUUUUUAAAGCAAGAAAAAAUUUUCAACUUCACAAAGACCGCAACUAUUUGAAAACAAAUCAAUUUCAACAGCUGAUCAUAUUCCAGUAUUCCAUUAGCAAUUGGAAAAGAAAAUACUUUGAGAAGAAAUACAUUUUUGUUGUUUCGUUGGCCAGAAUAAUUUUUUAAUUUGUCGUUUCUUUCAAUGGGCCUGAGAUGAAGUGAUAUUUAUCUAUAGUCUGCUGAGGACUCUGAGCCCAUUAGGACUGCCAGACCUGUGAAAACAGAAAGUUGUUUAUCACUGGCCUGUAUAAAACAUAGUGCUUGGGCAUCUCACUUGGAACUUGCUCUAACAUUUUUUUAAGUGGCACUUAGAACUAAAGAGACUAUUGUGUGUUUGAAUGAGAGCACCAACAUACCAGACCAGGCAUGGGGUGUAGGCACCCUCUUAUGUGGGCAACUGCCUUUUUGCCUAAUUAAUCCUUUCCUUGCAAGCCUGAACUCAGCCUGUGAAUUUCACAUACCCUUGAGAUCUCUAGCAACUUGGACUCUAGGCACUAAGAAACCAAGGGACUAUAAUGGAGGGCUAUUUGCUAAUAGCACUUAAAGCAGUGGUAUUUAAUGGACUAAAAGGAAAGAGGAACAGGCUCUGAGUUUCCUUUUUAAAGAAAAGUUGAUUCAGCAAUCUUUUUCCAUUAGGACAUCUAUGGGGAAUAUCCAACUUAAAACAAAACAAAACUCUUACCUUCUUUCUUUGAAUAGAUGCCGAGUAGGGGGGUCCAAGGCAGAAGAGUGGUAAGGGCUAGGCAAUGGGGGUUAAGUGACUUGCCCAGGGUCAUACAACCUGGAAGUUUCUGAGGUCAGAUUUGGACUCGGGUCUUCCUGAGCCCAGACCUGGCACUCUAUCCACUAUGCCACCUAGCUGUCCUUUGGAGAAGAAGAAAGGGCUAAUAAUUGUGGGCACUAGAGAAGGCUUGAUAGGAGGUGGUAACUAGAUAUGUUUUAAAGAAGCAAUACAAAGAGCUGAGGAGGAGGAAUAAGUGCAUUAUCUAUAGUUGUUUGCUGGAUGUCUCUUUCAUUAGGUUGCAAAUUCCUGAGGGCAGGGGCCAUUUUGUCCCCCCCCCCCCAGUUCUUAGCAUAGAGAAUGAAUUCCAUAAAUGGUUACUGGCUUGACAUUUAUGUAAAAGCAAGAUGAUGGGUGGCCAUUUGGAUUGUAGAAAAUGUAUGAAGGGAAGCAGUACCAAAUAAAGGUGGGAACUGUGUUAUGGUUAUCA